GCGUUGAAUCAUCGUUUCUCAUACGAUCACGGAAGUUAAGCUAUGGUGAGCCUGUCACUACCUAGAUGGGUGACCGCUUAGGAAGACCAGGUCUUGUAA